GAUGAACGCUGGCGGCGUGCUUAACACAUGCAAGUCGAACGAUGAAGCCCAGCUUGCUGGGUGGAUUAGUGGCGAACGGGUGAGUAACACGUGAGUAACCUGCCCUUAACUCCGGGAUAAGCCUGGGAAACUGGGUCUAAUACCGGAUAGGAGCGCCUACCGCAUGGUGGGUGUUGGAAAGAUUUAUCGGUUUUGGAUGGACUCGCGGCCUAUCAGCUUGUUGGUGGGGUAAUGGCUCACCAAGGCGACGACGGGUAGCCGGCCUGAGAGGGUGACCGGCCACACUGGGACUGAGACACGGCCCAGACUCCUACGGGAGGCAGCAGUGGGGAAUAUUGCACAAUGGGCGAAAGCCUGAUGCAGCGACGCCGCGUGAGGGAUGACGGCCUUCGGGUUGUAAACCUCUUUCAGUAGGGAAGAAGCGAAAGUGACGGUACCUGCAGAAGAAGCACCGGCUAACUACGUG
rnacentral:rRNA from 1 species